UGUGUGAUGUCCGUUUACGGAACCUUGAAUGAGUGUUGACUGUUUGCAAAAGUGAAAUGAAGAGGAGGGCGACGGUUAUGACUGCUAACAGUGGAAAACGUUAACGGAGUAUGAGGAGAGAAGGAGAUGGGAGAUUUCCAUUUUGGAGUUUGGGUUUGGCAGGGAAGCAGCUAUAUUUCAGAGUACAUUCAUAUACAUAGGAGUAGAUUUCCAGAGUAACAAUGGAGGAGGGGUGGAGAAUUGAGUGAGAAGUAGUGGGAGAUAUAUAUGAGCAAAAGAACGUUAAUGACUAUCUUAAUUACUUGGACUAAAUGUUGAUUUUAUGCAUUACAGAUGCGAUUUUUGGGAAGCCGAAUGAUUUAGGUUAAGCUUUAAGACGGCGACAAUGUAAUAAGGUCGACUUUGUUGAGUAACACAAAAGAAAUAGUUUUUCUGACUAAAUUAGAUGGCGUUGAUUUCACAUUUAUAAGAGAGUUGUCAAAGUAAUGAU
rnacentral:lncRNA from 1 species